GCUUCUAUGACGUUAGCGGCGGACGGGUGAGUAACACGUGGGCAACCUGCCUGUAAGACUGGGAUAACUUCGGGAAACCGAAGCUAAUACCGGAUAGGAUCUUCUCCUUCAUGGGAGAUGAUUGAAAGAUGGUUUCGGCUAUCACUUACAGAUGGGCCCGCGGUGCAUUAGCUAGUUGGUGAGGUAACGGCUCACCAAGGCAACGAUGCAUAGCCGACCUGAGAGGGUGAUCGGCCACACUGGGACUGAGACACGGCCCAGACUCCUACGGGAGGCAGCAGUAGGGAAUCUUCCGCAAUGGACGAAAGUCUGACGGAGCAACGCCGCGUGAGUGAUGAAGGCUUUCGGGUCGUAAAACUCUGUUGUUAGGGAAGAACAAGUACAAGAGUAACUGCUUGUACCUUGACGGUACCUAACCAGAAAGCCACGGCUAACUACGUGCCAGCAGCCGCGGUAAUACGUAGGUGGCAAGCGUUAUCCGGAAUUAUUGGGCGUAAAGCGCGCGCAGGCGGUUUCUUAAGUCUGAUGU
rnacentral:rRNA from 2 species